GAGGGACAAGUGCUGUAUCUUUCAAAGAAAAAAAUACUUUAGCUGCUUACCUCCACUGUGACAUGCAUUUUUGAAAGUAGAGCCUAGUCCCUCCUGUCUUCCGCAGCUGUCUUUGCGUAUUGAGAUGACACCUGCAAGAAGGAGAUGGCAACACCUGGAGGCAUGCUGAGUUUUAGUUUAGAGUGGUUGCACGGGGGCCUCUUCAUCAUGAAUCUGGAAACCCUCUAUCAUUAAGGAUUAGUUCACAGAUUUCCUGAAAGUAAAAGAAAAAUGGAAAAGAAAAUAGGAAGACACCAGCCACCACCUUGCACAGACUCUGGGAUCUAAGACCACACAAUGAAAGGGAGAAAUCAGUGGCUGAAGGAGUCACUUCAUGACUGGGGAGUACAAAUGAUCUAGACCUGCACCGCCUGAUGCUGUAGUUACUACCCACAUGUGGCUAUUUAAGUUGAAAUUAAUUGAAAUUAAAUAAAAUAAAAAAUACAAUUCCUCAGUCACAGUGGUCAAGUGUCAAGUGCUUAAUAGCUGAAUGUAGCUAAUGGCAACUGUAUUAGACAGUGCAGAUUUCAUAAACCAUUUUAUAGGCCGUGUAUAUCAGCACAGAAAGUGCUACAAGACAGUGCUGAUGUGUCUCUUUACAUAAUCAGGUUUAAGCUGGCACUGUCUAGGGUAAUGGCUGAAAAUCAGGGUUUGUUCCUUCGGGACGACAGUUGGAGAAAUGGUCAACCCUUGGUUUCAUAAUAAUAAUGCCUUUGAAGGGAGUAAGCCAGAGAUAACUUCUUCACAAAAUUAAUGGUGUUUGUAUCUAGGUCUCCAAGCCCCAAUGAAGGAAUUUAAGAUUAAGAAAC
rnacentral:lncRNA from 10 species